rnacentral:rRNA from 1 species
GAUGAACGCUGGCGGCGUGCCUAAUACAUGAAAGUCGAGCGAACAGACGAGGAGCUUGCUCCUCUGACGUUAGCGGCGGACGGGUGAGUAACACGUGGAUAACCUACCUAUAAGACUGGGAUAACUUCGGGAAACCGGAGCUAAUACCGGAUAAUAUAUUGAACCGCAUGGUUCAAUAGUGAAAGACGGUUUUGCUGUCACUUAUAGAUGGAUCCGCGCCGCAUUAGCUAGUUGGUAAGGUAACGGCUUACCAAGGCAACGAUGCGUAGCCGACCUGAGAGGGUGAUCGGCCACACUGGAACUGAGACACGGUCCAGACUCCUACGGGAGGCAGCAGUAGGGAAUCUUCCGCAAUGGGCGAAAGCCUGACGGAGCAACGCCGCGUGAGUGAUGAAGGUCUUCGGAUCGUAAAACUCUGUUAUUAGGGAAGAACAAAUGUGUAAGUAACUAUGCACGUCUUGACGGUACCUAAUCAGAAAGCCACGGCUAACUACGUG